UGAUCCUCUUUUCCCAUAGUGUUUGCCAUGAUAUAUGUGAAGUGCUUUCUAGGAAACUUAAUUGUGUGCCUAUUGAAUUAAACUCUAGUUCGUGGUUUCCUCUCUAACAUUGUCCUUGGCUGGAGUCAUUUUAAAAAAUAUAUCUUUUCUUUUCCUGAUGCUUUCUUGGUUUAUAAAAUUGCUGUUACUUGAUCUGUAAUUUUGUGUGAAAACACACAGUCUAAAUUCUUUAAUGCCACUUAACUCUAUAAAAUUCUGCAUGCUGUUUAGAGUCAUGUUUAGAACCCUGGUCUCCUGAUUCUGUUUUUUUUGAGACAGAGUUUCGCUCUGUCACCCAGGUUGGAGUGCAGCGGCCCGACCUUGGCUCACUUCUGCCUUCAUCUCCCAGCUGCUCGGGAGGCUGAGGCAGGAGAUUAGUUUGAACCUGGGAGGCGGAGGUUGCAGUGAGCCAAGAUUGUGCCACUGCACUCC
ensembl:lncRNA novel transcript